rnacentral:rRNA from 1 species
GACGAACGCUGGCGGCGUGCUUAACACAUGCAAGUCGAGCGGUAAGGCCCCUUCGGGGGUACACGAGCGGCGAACGGGUGAGUAACACGUGAGCAACCUACCCUCAACUUCGGGAUAAGCCUCGGAAACGGGGUCUAAUACCGGAUAUCACUCCAUUCUUCAUGGUUUGGGGUUGAAAGUUCUGGCGGUUGGGGAUGGGCUCGCGGCCUAUCAGCUUGUUGGUGGGGUAAUGGCCUACCAAGGCGUCGACGGGUAGCCGGCCUGAGAGGGCGACCGGCCACACUGGGACUGAGACACGGCCCAGACUCCUACGGGAGGCAGCAGUGGGGAAUAUUGCGCAAUGGGCGAAAGCCUGACGCAGCAACGCCGCGUGAGGGAUGACGGCCUU